GAUGAACGCUGGCGGCGUGCCUAACACAUGCAAGUCGAGCGAUCUUCUUCGGAAGAGAGCGGCGGACGGGUGAGUAACGCGUGGGUAACCUGCCCUGUACACACGGAUAACAUACCGAAAGGUAUGCUAAUACGGGAUGACAUAUGAGAGUCGCAUGGCUUUUGUAUCAAAGCUCCGGCGGUACAGGAUGGACCCGCGUCUGAUUAGCUAGUUGGUGAGGUAAUGGCUCACCAAGGCGACGAUCAGUAGCCGACCUGAGAGGGUGAUCGGCCACACUGGAACUGAGACACGGUCCAGACUCCUACGGGAGGCAGCAGUGGGGAAUAUUGCACAAUGGGCGAAAGCCUGAUGCAGCAACGCCGCGUGAGCGAUGAAGGCCUUCGGGUCGUAAAGCUCUGUCCUCAAGGAAGAUAAUGACGGUACUUGAGGAGGAAGCCCCGGCUAACUACGUG
rnacentral:rRNA from 1 species